rnacentral:rRNA from 1 species
AUUGAACGCUGGCGGCAGGCCUAACACAUGCAAGUCGAGCGGAUGAAGGGAGCUUGCUCCUGGCUUCAGCGGCGGACGGGUGAGUAAUGCCUAGGAAUCUGCCUGGUAGUGGGGGAUAACGUCCGGAAACGGGCGCUAAUACCGCAUACGUCCUGAGGUAGAAAGUGGGGGAUCUUCGGACCUCACGCUAUCAGAUGAGCCUAGGUCGGAUUAGCUAGUUGGUGGGGUAAAGGCCUACCAAGGCGACGAUCCGUAACUGGUCUGAGAGGAUGAUCAGUCACACUGGAACUGAGACACGGUCCAGACUCCUACGGGAGGCAGCAGUGGGGAAUAUUGGACGAUGGGCGAAAGCCUGAUCCAGCCAUGCCGCGUGUGUGAAGAAGGUCUUCGGAUUGUAAAGCACUUUAAGUUGGGAGGAAGGGCAGUAAGUUAAUCCCUUGCUGUUUUGACGGUACCAACAGAAUAAGCACCGGCUAACUUCGUG